rnacentral:rRNA from 1 species
AGGAUGAACGCUAGCGGCAGGCCUAAUACAUGCAAGCCGAACGGCAAGAUUGAUAGCAAUAUUGAUCCUAGAGUGGCGUAAGGGUGCGUAACACGUAUGCAAUCUACCCUCAACAGGAGGAUAGCUCCCCGAAAGGGGAAUUAAGACUCCAUAAGAUCAUUUGGUGGCAUCAUUGAAUGAUUAAACUUCCAGGGGUUGAGGAUGAGCAUGCGCCUGAUUAGUUAGUUGGCGGGGUAAGGGCCCACCAAGACGAUGAUCAGUAGGGGAACUGAGAGGUUGAUCCCCCACACUGGC